rnacentral:rRNA from 1 species
GCAUAUCAAAAAGCGGAGGAAAAGAAACCAACCGGGAUUGCCUUAGUAACGGCGAGUGAAGCGGCAAAAGCUCAAAUUUGAAAUCUGGUACCUUCGGUGCCCGAGUUGUAAUUUGUAGAAGGUAACUUUGGGGCUGGUCCUUGUCUAUGUUCCUUGGAACAGGACGUCAUAGAGGGUGAGAAUCCCGUGUGGCGAGGAUCCCAGUUCUUUGUAAAGUGCUUUCGAAGAGUCGAGUUGUUUGGGAAUGCAGCUCUAAGUGGGUGGUAAAUUCCAUCUAAAGCUAAAUAUUGGCGAGAGACCGAUAGCGAACAAGUACAGUGAUGGAAAGAUGAAAAGAACUUUGAAAAGAGAGUGAAAAAGUACGUGAAAUUGUUGAAAGGGAAGGGCAUUUGAUCAGACAUGGUGUUUUGCGCCCUCUGCUCCUUGUGGGUGGGGGAAUCUCGCAGCUCACUGGGCCAGCAUCAGUUUUGGCGGCAGGAUAAAUCUGCAGGAAUGUAGCUUGCCUCGGUAAGUGUUAUAUCCUGUAGAAAUACUGCCAGCUGUGUGAGCUGAGGACUGCGACUUUACGUCAAGGAUGCUGGCAUAAUGGUUAUAUGCCGCCCGUCUUGAAC